AUGUCGAUGGCCGCCGCGCAGAUCCACCGUAGUCGAGGCCUGCUGGUGGUUGAACACCCCACCAAGGGCAACUUCGUCUUCGAGUUCAACCUGAACCGUCUAUUCUCCGGCGAACCCGACCAGGAGUUCCCACCGAUUCUCAGCCUUCCCGACCCCGUCGCCAAGUUCAACAGCGUACAACCCACGGAAAACAUGGCCAUCACCGUCUCCGGCAACCUCAUCGUUGCCGCCACCUCCCUGUCCCGGACUCUGCUCUACGACACCGACUCGCGCUCCGCCUCCACCGGCCCGGACAUGCUGUCCGGCAAAAUCGAUAUCCUCCUCGUCCCCGUCGCAGACGGUACGUUCUUCGCCAUGUCCUUCUACCCGCACCUCGACGACACUCCCCACGCCGAGCUUCUGGCCAGCAACACGGACGACGCCGGCGGUCGCUUGGCCUGGCACCCCAUCCCGGAUCCACCGCUGUCGUCCAUCCCUCGCCCUCGCUUCAAGAGGGAGUGGCACAUCUCGGGCUACUUUGUCGCGGGCACACGCGUCUGGGUCUCCUUCUUGGAUGAAGGCACUUUCUCCUUCGACACGGCGUGCCGCCGGUGGCGCAGGGAAGGCACCUGGAAGCUGCCCGUGACGGGCCGGGCCCUUUUGAUCCCAGACUUCCUGGGCGGCGGCCGGCAGCUGCUCUUUGGCUUUUCCUCCGGGCAUCGCCAUUUUUGCGCCCGGCGGAUGAAGGCCUCCGGUGAUCAUCAAGGCCUGGCCGGAGGCCAUCCCCUCCCGGCUGGUCUGGCGUGCCAGAUACUUCACAGAAGCACACACCGCCGCCUUUGCCUACUACGGGGCCGGCAGAUUUUGCAUCUCGACGGUCAUCAUCACCGGGUACUUCCCUCAAAAGCCUAUCAACAUGGACGAAGUGCUCAAUCUACCACGCCGCGCCGUCUCCAUCGUGGCCGUCGAGGUCACCCCGGGAAUGCAGUUGAUUAA
rnacentral:rRNA from 1 species